rnacentral:rRNA from 1 species
UUACCGCGGCGGCUGGCACCGGUCUUUCCCACCCCUUUUCGCCAACCGGCUAAGAGUUGGUUGUAGACUAGACUUUGUCUAGCCACUUGGAAUUCCCUCAUCACAGUUUCCUGCAGUGUGAAGUUUUCGCGCCUGCUGCACCCCGUA